ensembl:lncRNA
AGCAGAUUCAGCAGGUUUCUGGUAUGCACGUUUCUGACCAAAAUCACUCCAUGAGGAUGGCAUGAGGACCCAAUGUGUCCCCUAGUGACACCUGCUAGGCAGAAUGAUAUACAUCAGGCCAGGUGAAUACAGCACUCUGCCAGGUGAAUACAGGUGAAUGUCAACACUCUGUCGCUGUAUGAAACGCUGCUAGAUCUGAGAAUAACGGAGAUAUUAUGCCUAAAUAUGACCGGGUCCUUAUUGUUGGUGAUUGUAAUAUUCAUGUAUGCUGCCCUGAGAAUCCAUUAGCGAGAGACUUUCUAAAUAUCAUUGACUCUUUUAAUCUUGUCCAAUCUGUAACUGGGCCGACACAUGAAUGUGGUCACACACUUGAUCUUGUUUUAUCCUAUGGUUUGCCUGUUUUUAAUCUGGAGAUCUGUGAUGCUUUUUUCUCCGAUCACAUGCCGGUACUGUUUGAAGCUACUGUUUGCUGUCAAACAGUUAAACCUCGUGCAGCCGCUCGCACUUGCCGAGUUAUUAACCCCUCCACUGCUGCUUACUUCUCGACUGCUUUCAGUCAAAACUGCAUCAUGCCUGAAAGUGUGUAUAAUGAUACUGAGGCUUUGAACUCUUGGUUUCUCGACACCUGUCAAACUGCCAUUGACAUAGCGGCUCCAUUAAAAAUCAGACGGACAAAAACUAAGUCUGAGCCCUGGCUGAAUGAAUCCACCCGUGCUUCCAGACAGCAGUGUCGAAGAGCUGAGAGAAAGUGGAAAAAGGACAAAUUACAAGUGUCUUUUCAAAUAUUGAGGGAUCGCUGGCGCCAUUACCAAUCCACUGUGAGAGAGGCUAAAAGAAAAUAUUUUUCUGAUAUUGUCCUGUUGAACUCCUGCAAGCCUUGUGUUUUGUUUAAGGUUAUUAAUUCUGCUCUGAAUGCACCACCGACUGUUGCAAUUGAUGCUUCCCUGGCUGUGUGUGAAAACUUUCUCCAUUUCUUUAUUGAUAAAGUAUUUUCUGCCAGAGCACUUAUUUCACCCCCUGGUUUCGAUCCUUCAGUGUUUGUCCCCUGCUCUGCUGUUCUAGACACUUUUGAGCCUGUGACUCUGCCCUUUGUGCAGGAGAUUGUUGGUCAUUUGAAGCCCUCAGGUUCUCUGGGUGAUACUGUCCCUCCUCGACUUCUUAAAGAGGUUUUCCCGACUAUUGGACCAUCAUUUACUACAGUUAUUAAUAGCAGUCUGUCCUCGGGAGUGGUUCCUGU